GACGAACGCUGGCGGCGUGCUUAACACAUGCAAGUCGAACGGAGAGGCCCCUUUGGGGGUACUCGAGUGGCGAACGGGUGAGUAACACGUGAGUAACCUGCCCUUGACUUCGGGAUAACUUCAGGAAACUGGGGCUAAUACCGGAUAGGAAUCCUUGCUGCAUGGUGGGGGUUGGAAAGCUUCGGCGGUUUUGGAUGGACUCGCGGCUUAUCAGCUUGUUGGUGGGGUAGUGGCUUACCAAGGCUUUGACGGGUAGCCGGCCUGAGAGGGCGACCGGCCACAUUGGGACUGAGAUACGGCCCAGACUCCUACGGGAGGCAGCAGUGGGGAAUAUUGCACAAUGGGCGGAAGCCUGAUGCAGCAACGCCGCGUGCGGGAUGACGGCCUUCGGGUUGUAAACCGCUUUCAGCAGGGGCGAAGCUUUUGUGACGGUACCUGCAGAAGAAGCACCGGCUAACUACGU
rnacentral:rRNA from 1 species